AGAAUCAACGCUGGCGGCGUGCCUAACACAUGCAAGUCGAACGAGAAAGUGGAGCAAUCCAUGAGUAAAGUGGCGACCGGGUGAGUAACACGUGACUAACCUACCUUUGAGUGGGGGAUAACAUCGGGAAACCGAUGCUAAUACCGCAUAACAUCGCAAGAUCAAAGCAGCAAUGCGCUUAAAGAGGGGGUCGCGGCUGAUUAGCUAGUUGGCGGGGUAACGCCCACCAAGGCGACGAUCUGUA
rnacentral:rRNA from 1 species